rnacentral:lncRNA from 1 species
AAGUAGCGACGGUGCCCACUAGCUGAAGAAGGAUGGUCGUGCAUUUAGAAAGAGAAGUAGUAGUUGGCGAUCGGGAGGCAAGGCAAAAGCAAAAUUCAGUACAUUGAGAGAGACAAUAACCUGACGUGUUCCAGAUAUAAAAAGAACUAUAUCGACGUGGGAUUGAGACUGAACAAUUUCAAUUUAAUAAUAAGUUUAAAUCGAUGCAUAUUUUUAGACAUUCUAUUUUAAUAAAUAAUUAUUAUUUGCUUUCGAUUACACUGUAUUUCGACUCAUUCAGCUAAGACUGUACUAACUCAUUUUUUUAAGUUUUCGAAUAAAGCAAGAUAAAGUUUUGAUUAAUGCAAAAAA